UCGCGGAUGUGCUUGAUGUUACGC
rnacentral:siRNA from 1 species